GUAUUUCAUCAGGUAAAAAAACAUGCCUUCCAUGUAUGAGACCCUGGGUUUGAUUCCCAGC
rnacentral:tRNA from 1 species